ACGGAGGGGGCUAGCGUUAUUCGGAAUUACUGGGCGUAAAGCGCACGUAGGCGGAUUGGAAAGUUGGAGGUGAAAUCCCAGGGCUCAACCUUGGAACUGCCUUCAAAACUCCCAGUCUUGAGAUCGUGAGAGGUGAGUGGAAUUCCGAGUGUAGAGGUGAAAUUCGUAGAUAUUCGGAGGAACACCAGUGGCGAAGGCGGCUCACUGGCACGAUACUGACGCUGAGGUGCGAAAGCGUGGGGAGCAAACAGG
rnacentral:rRNA from 1 species